GUAAUAAUCCUGUAGUCGAAAAUGUUGUCUCUCUUGAGUGGAUCCUGAGUACGACGGAGCACGUGAAAUUCCGUCGGAAUCUGGGAGGACCAUCUCCUAAGGCUAAAUACUCUCUAGUGACCGAUAGUGAACCAGUACCGUGAGGGAAAGGUGAAAAGCACCCCGGAAGGGGAGUGAAAUAGAACCUGAAACCGUGUGCUUACAAGUAGUCAGAGCCCGUUAAUGGGUGAUGGCGUGCCUUUUGUAGAAUGAACCGGCGAGUUACGAUUUGAUGCAAGGUUAAGCAGUAAAUGUGGAGCCGUAGCGAAAGCGAGUCUGAAUAGGGCGUUUAGUAUUUGGUCGUAGACCCGAAACCAGGUGAUCUACCCUUGGUCAGGUUGAAGUUCAGGUAACACUGAAUGGAGGACCGAACCGACUUACGUUGAAAAGUGAGCGGAUGAACUGAGGGUAGCGGAGAAAUUCCAAUCGAACCUGGAGAUAGCUGGUUCUCUCCGAAAUAGCUUUAGGGCUAGCCUCAAGUGAUGAUUAUUGGAGGUAGAGCACUGUUUGGACGAGGGGCCCCUCUCGGGUUACCGAAUUCAGACAAACUCCGAAUGCCAAUUAAUUUAACUUGGGAGUCAGAACAUGGGUGAUAAGGUCCGUGUUCGAAAGGGAAACAGCCCAGACCACCAGCUAAGGUCCCAAAAUAUAUGUUAAGUGGAAAAGGAUGUGGCGUUGCCCAGACAACUAGGAUGUUGGCUUAGAAGCAGCCAUCAUUUAAAGAGUGCGUAAUAGCUCACUAGUCGAGUGACACUGCGCCGAAAAUGUACCGGGGCUAAACAUAUUACCGAAGCUGUGGAUUGUCCUUUGGACAAUGGUAGGAGAGCGUUCUAAGGGCGUUGAAGCAUGAUCGUAAGGACAUGUGGAGCGCUUAGAAGUGAGAAUGCCGGUGUGAGUAGCGAAAGACGGGUGAGAAUCCCGUCCACCGAUUGACUAAGGUUUCCAGAGGAAGGCUCGUCCGCUCUGGGUUAGUCGGGUCCUAAGCUGAGGCCGACAGGCGUAGGCGAUGGAUAACAGGUUGAUAUUCCUGUACCACCUAUAAUCGUUUUAAUCGAUGGGGGGACGCAGUAGGAUAGGCGAAGCGUGCGAUUGGAUUGCACGUCUAAGCAGUAAGGCUGAGUAUUAGGCAAAUCCGGUACUCGUUAAGGCUGAGCUGUGAUGGGGAGAAGACAUUGUGUCUUCGAGUCGUUGAUUUCACACUGCCGAGAAAAGCCUCUAGAUAGAAAAUAGGUGCCCGUACCGCAAACCGACACAGGUAGUCAAGAUGAGAAUUCUAAGGUGAGCGAGCGAACUCUCGUUAAGGAACUCGGCAAAAUGACCCCGUAACUUCGGGAGAAGGGGUGCUCUUUAGGGUUAACGCCCAGAAGAGCCGCAGUGAAUAGGCCCAAGCGACUGUUUAUCAAAAACACAGGUCUCUGCUAAACCGUAAGGUGAUGUAUAGGGGCUGACGCCUGCCCGGUGCUGGAAGGUUAAGAGGAGUGGUUAGCUUCUGCGAAGCUACGAAUCGAAGCCCCAGUAAACGGCGGCCGUAACUAUAACGGUCCUAAGGUAGCGAAAUUCCUUGUCGGGUAAGUUCCGACCCGCACGAAAGGCGUAACGAUUUGGGCACUGUCUCAACGAGAGACUCGGUGAAAUCAUAGUACCUGUGAAGAUGCAGGUUACCCGCGACAGGACGGAAAGACCCCGUGGAGCUUUACUGUAGCCUGAUAUUGAAAUUCGGCACAGCUUGUACAGGAUAGGUAGGAGCCUUUGAAACGUGAGCGCUAGCUUACGUGGAGGCGCUGGUGGG
rnacentral:rRNA from 1 species